GACGAACGCUGGCGGCGUGCUUAACACAUGCGAGUCGAACGGAAAGGCCCCUUUGGGGGUACUCGAGUGGCGAACGGGUGAGUAACACGUGAGUAACCUGCCCUUGACUUCGGGAUAACUUCAGGAAACUGGGGCUAAUACCGGAUAGGAAUCCUUGCUGCAUGGUGGGGGUUGGAAAGCUUCGGGGGGUUUGGAUGGACUCGCGGCUUAUCAGCUUGUUGGUGGGGUAGGGGCUUACCAAGGCUUUGACGGGUAGCCGGCCUGAGAGGGCGACCGGCCACAUUGGGACUGAGAUACGGCCCAGACUCCUACGGGAGGCAGCAGUGGGGAAUAUUGCACAAUGGGCGGAAGCCGGAUGCAGCAACGCCGCGUGCGGGAUGACGGCCUUCGGGUUGUAAACCGCUUUCAGCAGGGGCGAAGCUUGUGGUGACGGUACCUGCAGAAGAAGCACCGGCUAACUACGUG
rnacentral:rRNA from 1 species